rnacentral:rRNA from 1 species
UCGAUACCUGCAAAGCAAACCCGCGAACACGUUCUAAACACUAUUGGGGUCGCGCCGUUGGAUGCCCCGGUGCAUCCCACGUCGCGCUCCCUUCCCGACGGCGCACCCUAGCGUGGGUCGUUCGGGCCAACGAACAUUUCGGCGCGGCAUGCGCCAAGGAAAACCAUCACGAGAAUGCUUGCUCUCGCGAGGCAUCGUUCGCGGUGCAUUGCGGGCGGCUUGUGCCUCUUGAAUCACUAAAUGACUCUCGGCAAYGGAUAUCUCGGCUCUCGCAUCGAUGAAGAACGUAGCGAAAUGCGAUACUUGGUGUGAAUUGCAGAAUCCCGUGAACCAUCGAGUCUUUGAACGCAAGUUGCGCCCGAAGCCAUUAGGUCGAGGGCACGCCUGCCUGGGCGUCACGCAUCGCGUCGCCCCCUCCCCCCAAUUUCCCUUGCGAGGGCGGGUGGAUCCGAGGGGACGGACAUUGGCCUCCCGUGCUCUCACYGCGCGGCUGGCUUAAAUGUGAUUCCUCGUCGACGGAUGUCACGACUAGUGGUGGUUGAAUCAAUCGCGCGAUGUCGUGCGUGACCCCGUUCGCUCGCGGACAUCAUACUGACCCAACGGCGCCGAGCGCUUUCGACCGCGACCCCAGGUCAGACGGGAUCACCCGCUGAAUUUAAGCAUAUCAAUAAG